AUACGUAGGUGGCGAGCGUUAUCCGGAAUGAUUGGGCGUAAAGGGUGCGUAGGUGGCAGAUCAAGUCUGGAGUAAAAGGUAUGGGCUCAACCCGUACUGGCUCUGGAAACUGAUCAGCUAGAGAACAGAAGAGGACGGCGGAACUCCAUGUGUAGCGGUAAAAUGCGUAGAUAUAUGGAAGAACACCGGUGGCGAAGGCGACCGUCUGGUCUGGAUUCUGACACUGAAGCACGAAAGCGUGGGGAGCAAAUAGGAUUAGAUACCCUAGUAGUCCACGCCGUAAACGAUGAGAACUAGGUGUUGGGGGAAUAACUCAGUGCCGCAGUUAACGCAGUAAGUUCUCCGCCUGGGGAGUAUGCACGCAAGUGUGAAACUCAAAGGAAUUGACGGGGGCCCGCACAAGCGGUGGAGUAUGUGGUUUAAUUCGAAGCAACGCGAAGAACCUUACCAGGCCUUGACAUCCCUUGCAGAGGUAUAGAGAUAUAUCCGAGGCUAUCAAGGAGACAGGUGGUGCAUGGUUGUCGUCAGCUCGUGUCGUGAGAUGUUGGGUUAAGUCCCGCAACGAGCGCAACCCUUGUGAUAUGUUACUAACAUUGAGUUGAGGACUCAUAUCAGACUGCCGGUGAUAAACCGGAGGAAGGUGGGGAUGACGUCAAAUCAUCAUGCCCCUUAUGGCCUGGGCUACACACGUACUACAAUGGCGUCUACAAAGAGCAGCGAACCUGUGAAGGCAAGCGAAUCUCAUAAAGGGCGUCUCAGUUCGGAUUGAAGUCUGCAACCCGACUUCAUGAAGCUGGAAUCGCUAGUAAUCGCGAAUCAGCAUGUCGCGGUGAAUACGUUCUCGGGCCUUGUACACACCGCCCGUCAAACCAUGGGAGUUGGUAAUGCCCGAAGCCGGUGGCAUAACCCAUUUGGGAGUGAGCCGUCGAAGGCAGGACCGAUGACUGGGGUU
rnacentral:rRNA from 1 species